CUUCUUCUCCUCCUCUUUCAUGGCUUCAAAGGUGUCAUAAGGAGGACACACAGAUUAUUGCUGACAUUGAGAAUAUCAGCACAUGUAAUUGGAACUCAUCUUCAAUCUGCAAUGUCACCACCGGUUCAUUCUUUUUCGUUUUGGGGAUACCAGUGAGUGAAUUGGUGCGUUGGAAAGGGAACAAGGAAUCCAGCUGGAAAAGAUGAAAGUUGUUUGGUUGUGAUGGUGUGCAGGUACGUCAAGGGCCUUGGAAAAGCUUCGGUAGUGACCAAUUGCUUUGCUUUUGGAAGGAGCCAUUUCUUUUCUUAUUUGCUU
rnacentral:lncRNA from 1 species